AUACGUAGGGUGCAAGCGUUGUCCGGAAUUAUUGGGCGUAAAGAGCUCGUAGGUGGCCUGUCGCGUCGGGCUGUGAAAACUCGGGGCUCAACGUCCGAGCUUGCAGUCGAUACGGGGCAAGGCUAGAGUUCGGCAGGGGGAGACUGGAAUUCCUGGUGUAGCGGUGAAAUGCGCAGGAGUAUCAGGAGGAACACCGGUGGCGAAGGCGGGUCUCGUGGGCCGAAUGACUGAC
rnacentral:rRNA from 1 species